UACCAUGCAGUCGAGCGCUCUCUUCGGAGGGAGCGGCGGACGGGUGAGUAACGCGUGGGAAUAUGCCCUUCUCUGCGGAAUAGCCACUGGAAACGGUGAGUAAUACCGCAUACGCCCUUCGGGGGAAAGAUUUAUCGGAGAAGGAUUAGCCCGCGUUAGAUUAGGUAGUUGGUGGGGUAAUGGCCUACCAAGCCUACGAUCUAUAGCUGGUUUUAGAGGAUGAUCAGCCACACUGGGACUGAGACACUGGCCCAGACUCCUACGGGAGGCAGCAGUGAGGAAUCUUAGACAAUGGGCGCAGAGCCUGAUCCUAGCCAUGCCGCGUGUGUGAAUGAAGGCCUUAGGGUCGUAAAGCACUUUCGCCCAGAGAAUGAUAAUGACAGUAUUCUGGUAAAGAAACCCCGGCUAACUCCGUGCCAGCAGUCCGCGGGUAAUACCGGAGGGGGUUCAGCGUUGUUCGGGAAUUACUGGGCGUAAAGCGCACCGUAGGCGGAUCAGGAAAGUUGGGGGUGAAAUCCCAGGGCUCAACCCUGGAACUGCCUCCAAAACUCCUUGGUCUUGAGUUCGAGAGAGGUGAGUGGAAUUUCCGAGUGUAGAGGUGAAAUUCGUAGAUAUUCGGAGGAACACCAGUGGCGAAGGCGGCUCACUGGCUCGAUACUGACGCUGAGGUGCGAAAGUGUGGGGAGCAAACAGGAUUAGAUACCCUGGUAGUCCACACCGUAAACGAUGAAUGCCAGUCGUCGGCAAGCAUGCUUGUCGGUGACACACCUAACGGAUUAAGCAUUCCGCCUGGGGAGUACCGGUCGCAAGAUUAAAACUCAAAGGAAAUUGACGGGGGCCCGCACAAAGCGGUGGAGCAUGUGGAUUUAAUUUCGGAAGCAACGCGCAGAACCUUUACCAACCCUUGACAUCCUGGUGCUACAUCCAGAGAUGGAUGGUUCCCUUCGGGGACGCAGUGACAGGUGCUGCAUGGCUGUCGUCAGCUCGUGUCGUGAGAAUGUUCGGUUAAGUUCCGGGCAACGAGCGCAACCCACAUCUUCAGUUGCCAGCAGUUCGGCGUGGGCACCUCUGGAGAAACUGCCCGUGAUAAGCGGGAGGAAGGUGUGGAUGACGUCAAGUCCUCAUGGCCCUUACGGGUCAUGGGCUACACACGUGCUACAAUGGUAUCUACAAUGGGUUAAUCCCCAAAAGAUAUCUCAGUUCGGAUUGUCGUCUGCAACUCGACGGCAUGAAGUCGGAAUCGCUAGUAAUCGCGUAACAGCAUGACGCGGUGAAUACGUUCCCGGGCCUUGUACACACCGCCCGUCACACCAUGGGAGUUGGUUCUACCUGACGGCCGUGCGCUAAC
rnacentral:rRNA from 1 species